rnacentral:rRNA from 1 species
GCCACUGAUUUUGCUUGGUCCUGGAGAGCAAUCCGGGUCAGGCCUGGUUAGUAUCUGGAUGGGAGACCACUGGUAAUGCCAAGUGUCAGGGCU